AUGGCCUGGGUGUCCUUCUACCUCCUGCCCCUCAUGGUCUCCUCAGGUCUCUGUGCUGUGCCUGUGCUGACCCAGGCCCCUUCUGCAUCUGCCUCCCUGGGAGCCUCGGUCAAGCUGACCUGCACCCUGAGCAGGGAGCAGCGCUCCUACAUCAUUCAAUGGUUUCAAAAGCUGCCAGAGAGGGCCCCACGGAAUGUGAUUUAUGUGAAGAGUGAUGGAAGCAUCGUAAAGGAGCAGGGGAUCCCCGAUCGCUUCUCAGGCUCCAGCUCAGGGGCUGACCGCUACUUGACCAUCUCCAACAUCCAGCCUGAGGACGAGGCUGAGUAUUACUGUGGCACAGGCAAUUAUAUUGGGCUCAGGGUGAGCUACUCAGGGUGA